rnacentral:rRNA from 1 species
GCUCAGAGUAUAAGCCAAUGGAGCUUGGAAGGCUUCCGCAGAUGGUGUCCAUCAUACGUGGUGUUCUUAAGACCUUGAGUGUGGCUCGUCAGGCGAAGCAUUGAGUUUGCCGGGUAGCUGUCGUGCGGGGGUUCGGCUUGGAGGUCUUAGGCUUCGGCCGAAGGGCUUCCGGCUGUCCCCUUUUGAAUGGACGUUCAGAGCUCUUGUGUCUAAUGCGGUUAUGCCCACCACAGCACGUUGUGAGGUCACCCACAGGCUCAAACUGCCGAUCGCGCAUCCAGGACGAUGGCAACGAUGCGUUGUUGAUGAUGGCUCGAGACAGAGACUUCACUCACACGCGUGUCUAGUCCUGGGUCGGGCGGCGACCGAGAUAAACCUGGUAUGAUCCUCUUGCGACGAGCUGCUUUCUGGCCAGACCGACGUCCAGGCGCUUCCACUGUGCCGGAAGCGUCUAUCCCAGGCGGUGUGAACCCAGCUGCAUUAUGCAAGGUCUCUCAGCCGGGCGUUGGUCUGAGUGGUGUUAAGUCCAGCACCAUCGGUCACGUCUCGAAACACGGGCCAAGGAGUAUAGCAUGUGUGCAAGUCUAAGGGUCUCACAAAACCCGAAGGCGAAGUGAAAGCAAGACUGUGGCGGGGGAGCUACGGCAAACCCGCCGGCCUAGUGGCGCGUGCGUCGCCUGGCUUUUAGCAGAGCUGAUCCUGUUUAUCGGUUAAUUCUUGGUGCAGGCGCAAGCUCCGGGCUCACGUACAACACUGGUCACGCCUCGCG